GACGAGCGCUGGCGGCGUGCCUAAUACAUGCAAGUAGAACGCUGAAGGAGGAGCUUGCUUCUCUGGAUGAGUUGCGAACGGGUGAGUAACGCGUAGGUAACCUGCCUGGUAGCGGGGGAUAACUAUUGGAAACGAUAGCUAAUACCGCAUAAUAGCAGUUAUUGCAUGAUAACUGUUUGAAAGGUGCAAUUGCACCACUACCAGAUGGACCUGCGUUGUAUUAGCUAGUUGGUGGGGUAACGGCUCACCAAGGCGACGAUACAUAGCCGACCUGAGAGGGUGAUCGGCCACACUGGGACUGAGACACGGCCCAGACUCCUACGGGAGGCAGCAGUAGGGAAUCUUCGGCAAUGGACGGAAGUCUGACCGAGCAACGCCGCGUGAGUGAAGAAGGUUUUCGGAUCGUAAAGCUCUGUUGUAAGAGAAGAACGAGUGUGAGAGUGGAAAGUUCACACUGUGACGGUAUCUUACCAGAAAGGGACGGCUAACUACGUG
rnacentral:rRNA from 1 species